rnacentral:rRNA from 1 species
GACGAACGCGGCGGCGUGCCUAAUACAUGCAAGUCGAACGCUUCUUUCCUCCCGAGUGCUUGCACUCAAUUGGAAAGAGGAGUGGCGGACGGGUGAGUAACACAUGGGUAACCUACCCAUCGGAGGGGGAUAACACUUGGAAACAAGUGCUAAUACCGCAUAACAGUUUAUGCCGCAUGGCAUAAGAGUGAAAGGCGCUUUCGGGUGUCGCUGAUGGAUGGACCCGCGGUGCAUUAGCUAGUUGGUGAGGUAACGGCUCACCAAGGCCACGAUGCAUAGCCGACCUGAGAGGGUGAUCGGCCACACUGGGACUGAGACACGGCCCAGACUCCUACGGGAGGCAGCAGUAGGGAAUCUUCGGCAAUGGACGAAAGUCUGACCGAGCAACGCCGCGUGAGUGAAGAAGGUUUUCGGAUCGUAAAACUCUGUUGUUAGAGAAGAACAAGGACGUUAGUAACUGA